ensembl:snoRNA SNORD116 Small nucleolar RNA SNORD116
GGAUCGAUGAUGACUCCCUCAUAUGCAUUCCUUGGAAAUCUGAACAAAAUGAGUGAGAACUCACUACCGUCGUUCUCAUCGGAACUGAGGUCC